UACAGAGGUCCCAAGCGUUGUUCGGAUUCAUUGGGCGUAAAGGGCGCGUAGGCGGCAUGACAAGUCACUUGUGAAAUCUCCGGGCUUAACUCGGAACGGCCAAGUGAUACUGUCGCGCUAGAGUGCAGAAGGGGCAAUCGGAAUUCUUGGUGUAGCGGUGAAAUGCGUAGAUAUCAAGAGGAACACCUGAGGUGAAGACGGGUUGCUGGGCUGACACUGACGCUGAGGCGCGAAAGCCAGGGGAGCAAACGGG
rnacentral:rRNA from 1 species